rnacentral:misc_RNA from 1 species
GAUGAAGAACGUAGCAAAAUGCGAUAAGUAAUGUGAAUUGCAGAAUUCAGUGAAUCAUCGAAUCUUUGAACGCACAUUGCGCCCGCCAGUAUUCUGGCGGGCAUGCCUGUUCGAGCGUCAUUUCAACCCUCAAGCCCUCGGGUUUGGUGUUGGGGAUCGGCGAGCCUUUCUGGCAAGCCGGCCCCGAAAUCUAGUGGCGGUCUCGCUGCAGCCUCCAUUGCGUAGUAGUAAAACCCUCGCAACUGGAACGCGGCGCGGCCAAGCCGUUAAACCCCCAACUUCUGAAUGUCGACCUCGGAUCAGGUAGGAAUACCCGCUGAACUUAAGCAUAUCAAUAAGCGGAGGA